AAGGCGCAGUGCAGUUGUAACCUGUCCUCUCUGAGCGGCUCGUGGAGAGUAAUUGGCAAGAAGUAGCUGUCGGUCUCCAGUCCCGGGUCCCCAAAUCCCGCCCAGGUUGGCAAGAGGAAGGAAGCUCGUGGUCGCCCCGCGUCCCCGUCCCUUCUCGGCGCAGAGACCUUACCCGGUUCCGCGGCCCGGGUCCUCCCACGUCUCCCAGAGGCUGUUUGUUCCCGGCCCUGCGAGCCUCCCCGGAGCGCGGGAGCUCGGCCCGGGCUCCUCUUUGUAGCCGCGGCGGGUCCCGCUCCCCGCGACGCCGCUCGGGACGCAGCCGGCCGAGCUCUGGCCGAGCCGGGGGGGCGGGACGUCGGGGAGACAAACAUUCGAGAGAAGACUGAGGGAUUCAAACUGAAAACCCCGAGGAGAGAGUUUUCGGAGUCUUCUCUUGUGCUUGCAAACAGCGACAGUCUCAAGCUGGGAAAGCAACGUUGGGUAGACCGGGCAGGCGAGGACCGCGCCCAACCGAUCGCAGGCGCUCGGCCCGGGAGACGGAACCACCAUUAAACGCCCCAAAUAAUGACCAGUCUGCAUCUAUCCAUUAAUUGAAUGGAUCAUCCCAUUGAUUUUCACCUGCUUCGUCCUAAUUGGCUUCAUCGUCGUGAAACUUAUGAAGAAAUCAGGGACCACAGCAGGUGAGAAUCAGGCUGGCCUCUGGCUCCUGGGCCUAUCAUGUUCUGAGUGAUUUAGUUCAACAAUUUACCUGAUGUUCUAACAGCCGUUCCAUCAUCUGAUGUUUCUUCCCUGGACCAGGAGAAGGUGGAAAUGUUAGACCAACCCUUGGUGGAAAAAACUGACCCUUGAUGACAGUCUGGCUGCUGAUCUAAUAAUAUUAUCUUCUACUCAGAGGCUUGUCGCUUUAAUUAGCUGGAACGUCUCCCAGCAGAGCUGAGCUCCUUACAAGGAGCUGUGGGGUGUGGUCUGAGAUCUGGAGAGACUUGGAACAGGCCAACCAUGUCAUGAUCUGACCCAGGUUGCCUCAGCUUGGAGACACCAACAGGAAGCAACACACAACUGGUGUGAGUCACUUGUGCCCCUAAUAGCUGAGGGCCUUGGCUUCUAGCCAUUGCUCUCUCCCCUAAGACUAAGAGGAGCUGCGCACCCCAAGCCAACGUCAGAGGGCGCCAUCGGCCAGGCUGCGGCUUGACCUGUCACAGCUGCUCCACUGGGCCCAUCCGGAGGUUCCAGGGUGUCCAGAGAGAUUUCCCUCCGGAUUAUCCCCAACUUCACCCUCUCUGCUGAUGCUCAUCCACACUCAUCCACAGCGGUGCUUCACUUCCUACCGACAUUACAUGUCAUACUGUCUUCCAGAGCUGCAAAGUAAAUAACCAUUUUACUGAAAUAAAAA